UCCGAGAAAGGCAAACCACGAGCAAUCGUGGGACGCAAAGCUACGGGUCCCUGGUGAGGAGAAUUUACUGGGACGGCUGAGCUGCCGAAG
rnacentral:ncRNA from 1 species